UGGGGAAUCUUCCGCAAUGGACGAAAGUCUGACGGAGCAACGCCGCGUGAGUGAAGACGGCCUUCGGGUUGUAAAGCUCUGUGAUCCGGGACGAAAGAGCCUGAGGUGAAUAGCCUAAGGAAGUGACGGUACCGGAAAAGCAAGCCACGGCUAACUACGUGCCAGCAGCCGCGGUAAUACGUAGGUGGCAAGCGUUGUCCGGAAUUAUUGGGCGUAAAGCGCGCGCAGGCGGCUUCCUAAGUCCAUCUUAAAAGUGCGGGGCUUAACCCCUUGAUGGGAUGGAAACUGGGAAGCUGGAGUAUCGGAGAGGAAAGUGGAAUUCCUAGUGUAGCGGUGAAAUGCGUAGAGAUUAGGAAGAACACCGGUGGCGAAGGCGACUUUCUGGACGAAAACUGACGCUGUGGCGCGAAAGCGUGGGGAGCAAACAGG
rnacentral:rRNA from 1 species